rnacentral:lncRNA from 1 species
GAGCAAAAGCUGUUUGUUCUUAAGGGUUCCAGAGCCCUACACAUGGGGCCUGGGCCUGCUUGUGCGACUUGUGUUUUCAUGUGUGUAAGUUUUACGGGUGUUUGCAUCUAGUACAGAGGCCUAUUCACUUCCAAACGAGGCUUGGUUUAGGACUCACUGGCUGCCAGAUACAGCCUCCCCCCCUCCCAAAGUCUGGUCCACACCUCUCUGUGCAUGCUGGCUUUGCGUUAGCUCCACUUUUGAGGCUGUAGCUAGAAUUUUAAAACCCUAACCUUCAGGGCCCACCUGGAAGCUCACCACAUGUAUUUCCUGCUUUGAGACCCAGCCAGGCAGCAUGGAGGUGCUGCCUCUGUGCGCAGUGACCAUCCUAGGCCAAGCUUCACAGACUCUCACAGACUUUUCUUUUAGUGUUCAAGCUACUGAACCUUUGACACCAGUUGAAAAAGCUUCACUUAGUAAAGAGAGACGGACUAGAUUAUCAACUGGGCAGUCUGUGAGGGGGGCUGGCGUCUCCCAGUCAGACGCAGAUGGGGUAUGGUGUUCUUGAAACAGUGCCUCAGCCUCACACAAGUUCUGGUACUCUUUUCUUCUUAACUUAUCUCCCGGCUGUAAAUGGAAGUUACGAACUCAGUUUCUUGAGGCCCUCUGCAGACCCAGUGGCUAAUCACCAGCCUCCUGGUUUGCCUCUCUCUGCCUUUGCGUAACUUCUUGGGCUGAAAGGAGACUUGAGGGCAAAGUGUUUGUCCUUUAGAAGCUCAAAUUAAAAUGGCUCCUACAGGUUUGGGAAGGCAGGAUCUGUUUGUGAAUGCGAACCCCAGCCAAUUUCCCAGCCCUGGCUCAAGCUGGCUGCUUCUCUUCGUGGCUACCACCAGGCCUGGGGUUGGUAAAAAGUUAAUUGCUUUUGAAGUAGCAUACUUUCCCAGUUACUAAAGGGAGAAUUUAAAAAAAAAAAAAAA